CCUACGGGCGGCAGCAGUGAGGCAUAUUGGUCAAUGGGCGCGAGCCUGAACCAGCCAAGUAGCGUGAAGGAUGACUGCCCUACGGGUUGUAAACUUCUUUUAUAAAGGAAUAAAGUGAGGCACGUGUGCCUUUUUGUAUGUACUUUAUGAAUAAGGAUCGGCUAACUCCGGUCCAGCAGCCGCGGUAAUACGGAGGAUGCGAGCGGUAUCCGGAUUUAUUGGGUUUAAAGGGUGCGUAGGCGGAAGGUUAAGUCAGCGGUCAAAUGUCGGUGCGCAACACCGGCCUGCCGUUUAAACUGGUCUUCUUGAGUGAGCGUGAAGUAUGCGGAAUGCGUGGUGUAGCGGUGAAAUGCAUAGAUAUCAUACAGAACACCGAUUGCGAAGGCAGCUUACCAAGCUACUUCUGACGUUGAGGCACGAAAGCGUGGGGAGCAAACAGGAUUAGAUACCCGUGUAGUC
rnacentral:rRNA from 1 species